UUCCAGUAAUUCGUCUUCCUUAGCCAUAGGUGGCGAUGUGUAGUUUAUUAUCUCAUGUUCAGUUGUUUUCACCUAAAACCAGGAGUAAGAAGAAUCGACCAGGUAGUGGACAAAUCUGAGUCAACAACAACCUUAAGUGGGCUCGUGCAUCAUGAUCACACGAUCUGAGUCUCAGUUUAGAGGUAGAAUUUCGUCGAUACUUCAGGUGUUUGUGGAAGCAGCAGUGACAGAAAUAUGUGAGAUCAUUGACCUCGAAGUUGCUACUUUACGUGCUGAGUUGUCGAUGUGCCGCUCCGAGAAGGGCUCUGCAAGAGGAAAGUUACAGUCUACGGAAGAGAACAGUUCUUUUGGAAAUGAACGUGGAUUUGCAACACAAGAUUUUGAUGCUGGACCACACGAAAAUACUGGUCGUGUACAGGCUGAGAGGAAAAUAUUCAGAAACCAGGGAACUCCCAAAACAUCACAGCCUUGUGUCCUAUGGAACCAGCAGUGUGGCAGUGAAGAAACCAAAAAUGCCACUGUUAAAGGGUGCACAAGGAUGGAUGCUGUUUCAGUCAAAAAGGAAAUGCUGGAGGAGUCUGAGCAGCCGAACGAAGUGAAAGACAAACAGGAAGAGAUCACUGGUGAGAGUAUUUGCCUGACUGAUCCGAAUGAGGGCAUGAGCACUUCACCAACCCCUCAUACUGGGCUGGAAUGGCCUAAUUCUGAAGCCUGUGUCCAUGCCAACACUAAAUGUGGCUCCAAGUCUGAACCAGCGAACGUCUGUGCUGAGUCCACACUGUCUAAUGCCGAGACUACCGGCAGCAGACACAGCUGUUUGGACCGUAGCCAUGAAUGUGAGAACCUGCAUAUGUGGACCAGUGCUAUGUCCGAUAAGCAUUACGCUCAGUCAGGACAGCUCGUGCAAGACACGGACCUCCAACAUGAACAUGAACAAGAGGAAGAUGAAGAGGAAGAGGAAGAGGAGCAGGAUGUCACGCAUUUGACACACUGGACUAACCCAGCAUCUCCACUGAGAGGUCAAGCCCACCAUUCGGUGCAGUACUUACACGAAGAGCCGCCCGAGUCUGUGGGUGUUUUUGGCCUGAAUCUUCCUCCAGGCAGUGACCCCCUCAGUAUGAGAGGAGACCUCUCUGGCAGUCACCUCGGCAUGUCUUUAAACCACCUCGCAGACCUCGAGGGGAGGUUCAUCUGUCCCAUGUGUGGCAAAAUCCUACGAACUGACAGGGCGCUGCGGGCUCACAUGAAGGACCACACAACGUUGCACAUUUGUAAUCACUGUGGGAAGAGCUUCGCCAGGCUGACAAAUCUUCGAGUACACCAGAACAUCCACAUGGGAGUCAAGCCAUACACCUGUAAAUUUUGCUCGAAGAAGUUCAGCGACCCAAGCAACUACAACCGCCAUAAACAUCGCUGCCCAAAGUCAGAUCAUACCCAGUUCAGCUCCUAGUCUUCUGAAAACCCUAUGCCUGGGAGAAGUGACUCAUUGUGCCUUCUUACACACUUCUGGAAUUCCAACAUAAGCUUGUGGUCCAGUAUCAUAUCUGUAGAACCUGGACUUCCUACAGUAGAAAGAGAGCGUCUGCCUAUUACACAGUGACUUAGAUAUUCCAGAAACUACACAAACACUGAUUAUGUGUUCAAAACUGGGGUGGAAUGCCUGACCUCAUGCUCCUACACACUGUUAAAUAUUAUUUAUUGUCAGGUUGACAAGAGUGGAUAACCAACCUUGAUAUUUAUUCAAAUACAAUAAGGAGUUUGCAGAGCACCAUUUCAUUGUAAAUAUGUUGACAUUUGGGGUUGGCAAAAGUUUUGAAACAUGUUCUUCAGUCCCUCCAGGAUUUUUUUUAAAUCUUGCUAUUUCACAUAUUGCACACAAAUUCUAGGUUUUCCGGGUUGUACCUUUCUCUCAUUAUUACAAUAUUUCUGCAAAGACACGCAGUCAUGGAAUGUCCUGCAUUAUUUGCAAUGGAUUUUAAUUAACUCAAAAUCACUGCAAUUUGAAAUGCAUUUUCUGGGAAUUCCAACAGCAAACCCAUAAAGCGUCUUUGAGAACUGUGAAAAGCGCUAUAUAAAUGCGGAUUAUUAUUAUUAUUAUUAAUUAAUAAUAAUAAAAUAUCCUGGAGGGACUGAUUCGUAUGUUAG
ensembl:lncRNA